rnacentral:rRNA from 1 species
UACGAAGGGGGCUAGCGUUGCUCGGAAUCACUGGGCGUAAAGGGUGCGUAGGCGGGUCUUUAAGUCAGGGGUGAAAUCCUGGAGCUCAACUCCAGAACUGCCUUCGAUACUGGCGAUCUUGAGUCCGGGAGAGGUGAGUGGAACUCCGAGUGUAGAGGUGAAAUUCGUAGAUAUUCGGAAGAACACCAGUGGCGAAGGCGGCUCACUGGCCCGGUACUGACGCUGAGGUGCGAAAGCGUGGGGAGCAAACAGG